GAUGAACGCUGGCGGCGUGCCUAAUACAUGCAAGUCGAGCGAACGGACGAGAAGCUUGCUUCUCUGAUGUUAGCGGCGGACGGGUGAGUAACACGUGGAUAACCUACCUAUAAGACUGGGAUAACUUCGGGAAACCGGAGCUAAUACCGGAUAAUAUUUUGAACCGCAUGGUUCAAACGUGAAAGACGGUCUUGCUGUCACUUAUAGAUGGAUCCGCGCUGCAUUAGCUAGUUGGUAAGGUAACGGCUUACCAAGGCAACGAUGCAUAGCCGACCUGAGAGGGUGAUCGGCCACCCUGGAACUGAGACACGGUCCAGACUCCUACGGGAGGCAGCAGUAGGGAAUCUUCCGCGAUGGGCGAAAGCCUGACGGAGCAACGCCGCGUGAGUGAUGAAGGUCUUCGGAUCGUAAAACUCUGUUAUUAGGGAAGAACAUAUGUGUAAGUAACUGUGCACAUCUUGACGGUACCUAAUCAGAAAGCCACGGCUAACUACGUG
rnacentral:rRNA from 1 species